rnacentral:rasiRNA from 1 species
CAAACCGACGAAGACCAUUACAAAA